rnacentral:rRNA from 1 species
GUGGGGAAUCUUAGACAAUGGGCGCAAGCCUGAUCUAGCCAUGCCGCGUGAGCGAUGAAGGCCUUAGGGUUGUAAAGCUCUUUCAGGGGGGAAGAUAAUGACGGUACCCCCAGAAGAAGCCCCGGCUAACUCCGUGCCAGCAGCCGCGGUAAUACGGAGGGGGCUAGCGUUGUUCGGAAUUACUGGGCGUAAAGCGCACGUAGGCGGACCAGAAAGUCAGGGGUGAAAUCCCGGGGCUCAAACCCGGAACUGCCUUUGAAACUACUGGUCUUGAGGUCGAGAGAGGUGAGUGGAAUUCCGAGUGUAGAGGUGAAAUUCGUAGAUAUUCGGAGGAACACCAGUGGCGAAGGCGGCUCACUGGCUCGAUACUGACGCUGAGGUGCGAAAGCGUGGGGAGCAAACAGGAUUAGAAACCCGUGUAGUCC